AUACUGCUGACGAGUCCAAACAGGACGAAACAACUGUCCAGUGC
rfam:Echinostoma caproni strain Egypt genome assembly, scaffold: ECPE_scaffold0003343